CCUACGGGUGGCAGCAGUGGGGAAUAUUGCACAAUGGGGGAAACCCUGAUGCAGCGACGCCGCGUGAGUGAAGGAGUGUUUCGGUAUGUAAAGCCCUGUCAGCAGGGAAGAAAAUGACGGUACCUGACCAAGCAGCCGCGGCUAACUACGGGCCAGCAGCCGCGGUAAUACGUAGGGGGCAAGCGUUAGCCGGAUUUACUGGGUGUAAAGGGAGCGGAGACGGCGGGGCAAGUCUGGAGUGAAAGGCCGGGGCUCAACCCCCGGACUGCUCGGGAAACUGCGAGGCUGGAGUGCAGGAGAGGUAAGUGGAAUUCCUGGUGUAGCGGUGAAAUGCGUAGAUAUCAGGAGGAACACCAGUGGCGAAGGCGGCUUCCUGGACUGUAACUGACGUUGAGGCUCGAAAGCGUGGGGAGCAAACAGGAUUAGAUACCCCGGUAGUC
rnacentral:rRNA from 1 species